rnacentral:rRNA from 1 species
GACGAACGCUGGCGGCGUGCCUAACACAUGCAAGUCGAACGGUGUGGCGAACGGGUGAGUAAUACGUGAGUAACCUGCCUUCUUCUAUGGGAUAAGCCUGGGAAACUGGGUCUAAUACUGGAUAGUGGGGGAUGGGCUCACGGCUUAUAAGCUUGUUGGUGGGGUGAGGGCCUCACAAGGCGGUGCCGGGUAGCCGGCCUGAGAGGGUGGCCGGCGACAUUGGGACGUAGGUACGGCCCAGGCUCCUACGGGAGGCAGCAGUGGGGAAAAUUGCAAAAUGGACGGAAGUCUGAUGCAGCGACGCCGCGUGGGGGAUGAAGGCAUGCGGGUUGUAAACUCCUGUUGAUACUGAACGGGUAGGUGUUGAAUAAGCGCCGGCUAACUACGUGCCAGCAGCCGCGGUAAUUC